rnacentral:misc_RNA from 1 species
GAUGAAGAACGUAGCGAAAUGCGAUAAGUAAUGUGAAUUGCAGAAUUCAGUGAAUCAUCGAAUCUUUGAACGCACAUUGCGCACCUUGGUAUUCCGAGGGGCAUGCCUGUUCGAGCGUCAUUAUAACCCCUCAAGCUCAGCUUGGUGUUGGGGCCUGCUGCACUGGCAGCCCUUAAAAUCAGUGGUGGCGCCAUCUGGCUCUAAGCGUAGUAAUUCUUCUCGCUAUGGAGUCCUGGUGGAUGCUUGCCAUCAACCCCCAAUUUUUCUAUGGUUGACCUCGGAUCAGGUAGGGAUACCCGCUGAACUUAAGCAUAUCAAUAAGCGGAGGA